CCAGGCCGAUUGUACACUGUGAAUGAAGGUUUAAUCUAUGUCAUCCUUUGUCACAGGUCAUCCUGUUGCCUGGGAUGAAGUGUCACAUAGUUUGAAUCCACAUUGCUUGCUGACUUCAUGGGGUGAAUGAACUUUUCCAAGAUUCUGGAAGCCUAUUGUAAUUUGUGUUCUCUACAUUUUCCUGAGGUCCCAGGGAUGCCGUGACUACUAAGCUCUAUGGUAGGAGUUGGGGCAGGAGAAUCUGGGAGCACUCAGUUGUGGAACCCAGCCACCAUGUUGUGAAGAAGCCCUGUGCAGUGGUCCAAGUGACCAGGAGUCAAAGCUCCCAGCCAAUAGCCAGCACUAACUUGUCAGCAGUGUCAUGGAGCCCACUUGAAAGAGGAUUCUAAUUAUGCUGCCCAAGCUGUGGCCACAUGGAGGAGAGAUAUACAGUCCCUGCUGAACCCUGCUCUAAUUACAGGGAGACUUGAAAACCAGUGGUGGCGAGACUCCAAGACUAUUAUUUUUAUUUCCGGACAAAAACAUCUGCUUCACACAGUGCACGGC
rnacentral:lncRNA from 1 species